GAGUUUGAUUCUGGCUCAGGACAAACGCUGGCGGCGUGCAUAACACAUGCAAGUCGAACGAAAUCUACAUGAUUUAGUGGCGAACGGGUGAGUAACACGUGAGAAACCUGCCUUACACAGAGGGAUAGCCGUUGGAAACGACGAUUAAUACCUCAUGACACCGUGACAUCGCAUGAUGAUGCGGUCAAAGAUUUAUCGGUGUAAGAUGGUCUCGCGCCUGAUUAGCUGGUUGGUGGGGUAACGGCCUACCAAGGCGACGAUCAGUAGCCGAUCUGAGAGGGUGGACGGCCACAUUGGGACUGAGACACGGCCCAAACUCCUACGGGAGGCAGCAGUGGGGAAUUUUGCACAAUGGGGGAAACCCUGAUGCAGCGACGCCGCGUGAACGAAGAAGGCCUUCGGGUUGUAAAGUUCUGUCCUUGGUGAAGAUA
rnacentral:rRNA from 1 species